CAGCAGCCGCGGUAAUACAGAGGGUGCGAGCGUUAAUUGGAUUUACUGGGCGUAAAGCGUGCGUAGGCGGCUUUUUAAGUCGGAUGUGAAAUCCCUGAGCUUAACUUAGGAAUUGCAUUCGAUACUGGGAAGCUAGAGUAUGGGAGAGGAUGGUAGAAUUCCAGGUGUAGCGGUGAAAUGCGUAGAGAUCUGGAGGAAUACCGAUGGCGAAGGCAGCCAUCUGGCCUAAUACUGACGCUGAGGUACGAAAGCAUGGGGAGCAAACAGGAUUAGAUACCCCGGUAGUCCCUGUCUCUUAUAA
rnacentral:rRNA from 1 species